rnacentral:SRP_RNA from 1 species
CCUGGUGGGCAUGGUGGCAUACACUCGUAUUACUGGGGAGGCUGGGGCUGAUGCAUCUCUCGAGCUUAGGUCUCCUGGACUGUAGUGAGCUAAAGACAAUCAGGUUUUCACACUAUGAACCAAUUAUGGUGAGCCCUCUGGAGCAGAAGAGCACAAGGCUACCUAAGGAGGGGUGGAUUGAUCCAGGUUGGAAACAGAGCAGGUCAAAGUUCCCAUGUCAAUUAUAGUGGGAUUGACCCAUGAGUAGUAGCUGUCCUUCUAGCCUGGGAAAGAUAGGGAGACCAAGUCUUU